UACGAAGGUGGCAAGCGUUACUCGGAAUUACUAGGCGUAAAGGGCAGGUAGGUGGUUUGGUUAGUCUGUUGUGAAAGCUCCUUGCUUAACGGGGAGAGGUCAACAGAUACUGCCAGACUUGAGUAUGGGAGAGGGUACUGGAAUUCCCGGUGUAGCGGUGAAAUGCGCAGAGAUCGGGAGGAACACCAAUGGCGAAAGCAGGUACCUGGACCAUUACUGACACUCAGCUGCGAAAGCUAGGGGAGCAAACAGGAUUAGAUACCCUGGUAGUCCUAGCCGUAAACGAUGCACAUUAGGCGUGAGGGGUAUCGACCCCCUUCGUGCCGAAGCAAACGCAUUAAAUGUGCCGCCUGGGGAGUACGGCCGCAAGGUUGAA
rnacentral:rRNA from 1 species